GGCACACACACACUCAACCGGCCAUUCAUGCCACCGAGCGUCCAAGGGAGGCCCAGAAGCGCAAACCGGAUCUUCCUCGUGCCUGACCUUGGCGGCCAUCUUCCUAACAAUGUCGGUGUGGAGCUACCACGCUGCCUAAGGGGUUUCUUCCAGACUCUUAAAUGUAGACAGGGGACAAAGGCUUCUCUUCUUUGCCCUAGAUGUCAACCUGUGGAUCUGCCGUCCCCCCCUGACUCUCUUCUUCAUUUCUUCCUCAUCAACUCCCAGGCCCGGAAGUACAGCCUUCUCUCUUUGUUCUUCUCUGCCACAACCCCUCUCUUCCCAUCUCCAGCCUCCUGGCUAAACCUUAAUGCUAGACCAGGGUUUUUUCUGUGCAACACUGCAGAAAGUCGGAAGUCUUCCAGGCCCUUGGUAUGACACAUGGGAGGUAACAACCCAACUUAGACUCACUCCCAUCUCAGUCAUUGCAAGUGGAUGCCUUAGGCUGUCUAGGCUCAAGCUCAGAGCUGAAUGAAAUUGACAAAAGGCAUGGACUGGUGCAUUAUACCCACUGUGGGCAUAAAGCCAGCGAAUUCAUGGAACAGCGAUUACUACACCUUGACUUAGCAAACCAGAUAGCAGUAAAAGUCAAGGCUGGAGGACAGGACUUCUCUGCUGUCCCUUCCCAAACCUGGAACGGUGCUUGGGACACAGUAGGGGUUCAGUAAA